GAUGAACGCUGGCGGCGUGCUUAACACAUGCAAGUCGAACGAACCUUCGGGUUAGUGGCGGACGGGUGAGUAACGCGUGGGAAUCUGCCCUCAGGAGGGGGAUAACGGUUGGAAACGGCCGCUAAUACCCCAUAUGCCGAGAGGUGAAAUGAAUUUCGCCUGAGGAUGAGCCCGCGUCUGAUUAGCUAGUUGGUGAGGUAAGAGCUCACCAAGGCAUCGAUCAGUAGCUGGUCUGAGAGGAUGAUCAGCCACACUGGGACUGAGACACGGCCCAGACUCCUACGGGAGGCAGCAGUGGGGAAUUUUCCGCAAUGGGCGAAAGCCUGACGGAGCAACGCCGCGUGAGGGAUGAAGGCCUCUGGGCUGUAAACCUCUUUUAUCAAGGAAGAAGAUCUGACGGUACUUGAUGAAUAAGCCACGGCUAAUUCCGUG
rnacentral:rRNA from 1 species